rnacentral:rRNA from 1 species
UAAGGAAUAUUGGUCAAUGGACGCAAGUCUGAACCAGCCAUGCCGCGUGGAGGAUGAAGGUCCUCUGGAUUGUAAACUUCUUUUAUCUGGGACGAAACACUUCUUUUCUAAGAGGCCUGACGGUACCAGAUGAAUAAGCACCGGCUAACUCCGUGCCAGCAGCCGCGGUAAUACGGAGGGUGCAAGCGUUAUCCGGAUUCACUGGGUUUAAAGGGUGCGUAGGUGGGUAUGUAAGUCAGUGGUGAAAUCCCCGAGCUUAACUUGGGAACUGCCAUUGAUACUUUAUAUCUUGAAUACCGUAGAAGUAAGCGGAAUAUGUCAUGGAGCGGAGAAAUGCUUAGAUAUGACAUGGAACACCAACCGCGAAGGCAGUUUACUAUGCGGUGAUUGACACUGAGGCACGAAA